CGCUGGUCUGAAGGUAAUUAGUUAUCUUAACUGAUUGAAAACAGUUACAGAUCAAACCCCUUGUUUUACUGUCCUCCCUUCUCACUACUGCACUUGACUCAUCUUAA
ensembl:misc_RNA Y_RNA Y RNA